GAUUAUACUUAGCGGUCAGAGUAACCUAGCCAUUGUGCCCCCGUUCCGCCACAGAUUCUUUGUUGUAAUAUGUGCUAAUCUUUCUUCUUCAAAAAUAUUAUGGAGAGGGCACGAUAGGCACUGCAAACGGUCGACUGAAAAACUAUGUCGGAGAGAUUGGAAACCUGCGAACUAACUCUGCCCCUGGGCAAAAUUAAGGGCGUUAAACGCCUCAGUCUCUACGAUGACACCUACUUUAGCUUCGAGAAGAUUCCCUUUGCGAAGCCUCCACUGGGCGAACUGAGAUUCAAGGCCC